rnacentral:tRNA from 1 species
GGCGGACGUGGCCAAGUGGAUUAAGGCAGUAAGAGCUUCAA